rnacentral:rRNA from 3 species
AAACUAACAAGGAUUCCCCUAGUAACUGCGAGUGAAGCGGGAAAAGCUCAAAUUUAAAAUCUGGCGGUCUAUGGCCGUCCGAGUUGUAAUCUGGAGAAGCGUUUUCCGUGCCGGACCGUGUACAAGUCUCUUGGAACAGAGCGUCAUAGAGGGUGAGAAUCCCGUCCAUGACACGGACUCCCGGUGCUUUGUGAUACGCUCUCGAAGAGUCGAGUUGUUUGGGAAUGCAGCUCAAAAUGGGUGGUAAAUUCCAUCUAAAGCUAAAUAUUGGCGAGAGACCGAUAGCGAACAAGUACCGUGAGGGAAAGAUGAAAAGCACUUUGGAAAGAGAGUUAAACAGUACGUGAAAUUGUUGAAAGGGAAACGCUUGAAGUCAGUCGCGUCGUCCGGGACUCAGCCUAGCUUCUUUGCUCGGUGUACUUCCCGUUCGACGGGUCAACGUCGAUUUUGACCGGCGGAUAAUGGCUUGGGGAACGUGGCACCUUCGGGUGUGUUAUAGCCCCUGGUCGCAUACGUCGGUUGGGAUCGAGGACCGCAGCGCGCCUUUUAGGCCGGGGGUUCGCCCCACGUAACGCGCUUAGGAUGUUGGCAUAAUGGCUUUAAGCGACCCGUCU